GAUGAAGGACGUUACUAACGACGAUAUGCUUUGGGGAGCUGUAAGUAAGCUUUGAUCCAGAGAUUUCCGAAUGGGGAAACCCAGCAUGAGUUAUGUCAUGUUAUCGAUAUGUGAAUACAUAGCAUAUCAGAAGGCACACCCGGAGAACUGAAACAUCUUAGUACCCGGAGGAAGAGAAAGAAAAUUCGAUUCCCUUAGUAGCGGCGAGCGAAACGGGAAGAGCCCAAACCAACAAGCUUGCUUGUUGGGGUUGUAGGACACUCUAUACGGAGUUACAAAGGACGACAUUAGACGAAUCAUCUGGAAAGAUGAAUCAAAGAAGGUAAUAAUCCUGUAGUCGAAAAUGUUGUCUCUCUUGAGUGGAUCCUGAGUACGACGGAGCACGUGAAAUUCCGUCGGAAUCUGGGAGGACCAUCUCCUAAGGCUAAAUACUCUCUAGUGACCGAUAGUGAACCAGUACCGUGAGGGAAAGGUGAAAAGCACCCCGGAAGGGGAGUGAAAUAGAACCUGAAACCGUGUGCUUACAAGUAGUCAGAGCCCGUUAAUGGGUGAUGGCGUGCCUUUUGUAGAAUGAACCGGCGAGUUACGAUUUGAUGCAAGGUUAAGCAGUAAAUGUGGAGCCGUAGCGAAAGCGAGUCUGAAUAGGGCGUUUAGUAUUUGGUCGUAGACCCGAAACCAGGUGAUCUACCCUUGGUCAGGUUGAAGUUCAGGUAACACUGAAUGGAGGACCGAACCGACUUACGUUGAAAAGUGAGCGGAUGAACUGAGGGUAGCGGAGAAAUUCCAAUCGAACCUGGAGAUAGCUGGUUCUCUCCGAAAUAGCUUUAGGGCUAGCCUCAAGUGAUGAUUAUUGGAGGUAGAGCACUGUUUGGACGAGGGGCCCCUCUCGGGUUACCGAAUUCAGACAAACUCCGAAUGCCAAUUAAUUUAACUUGGGAGUCAGAACAUGGGUGAUAAGGUCCGUGUUCGAAAGGGAAACAGCCCAGACCACCAGCUAAGGUCCCAAAAUAUAUGUUAAGUGGAAAAGGAUGUGGCGUUGCCCAGACAACUAGGAUGUUGGCUUAGAAGCAGCCAUCAUUUAAAGAGUGCGUAAUAGCUCACUAGUCGAGUGACACUGCGCCGAAAAUGUACCGGGGCUAAACAUAUUACCGAAGCUGUGGAUUGUCCUUUGGACAAUGGUAGGAGAGCGUUCUAAGGGCGUUGAAGCAUGAUCGUAAGGACAUGUGGAGCGCUUAGAAGUGAGAAUGCCGGUGUGAGUAGCGAAAGACGGGUGAGAAUCCCGUCCACCGAUUGACUAAGGUUUCCAGAGGAAGGCUCGUCCGCUCUGGGUUAGUCGGGUCCUAAGCUGAGGCCGACAGGCGUAGGCGAUGGAUAACAGGUUGAUAUUCCUGUACCACCUAUAAUCGUUUUAAUCGAUGGGGGGACGCAGUAGGAUAGGCGAAGCGUGCGAUUGGAUUGCACGUCUAAGCAGUAAGGCUGAGUAUUAGGCAAAUCCGGUACUCGUUAAGGCUGAGCUGUGAUGGGGAGAAGACAUUGUGUCUUCGAGUCGUUGAUUUCACACUGCCGAGAAAAGCCUCUAGAUAGAAAAUAGGUGCCCGUACCGCAAACCGACACAGGUAGUCAAGAUGAGAAUUCUAAGGUGAGCGAGCGAACUCUCGUUAAGGAACUCGGCAAAAUGACCCCGUAACUUCGGGAGAAGGGGUGCUCUUUAGGGUUAACGCCCAGAAGAGCCGCAGUGAAUAGGCCCAAGCGACUGUUUAUCAAAAACACAGGUCUCUGCUAAACCGUAAGGUGAUGUAUAGGGGCUGACGCCUGCCCGGUGCUGGAAGGUUAAGAGGAGUGGUUAGCUUCUGCGAAGCUACGAAUCGAAGCCCCAGUAAACGGCGGCCGUAACUAUAACGGUCCUAAGGUAGCGAAAUUCCUUGUCGGGUAAGUUCCGACCCGCACGAAAGGCGUAACGAUUUGGGCACUGUCUCAACGAGAGACUCGGUGAAAUCAUAGUACCUGUGAAGAUGCAGGUUACCCGCGACAGGACGGAAAGACCCCGUGGAGCUUUACUGUAGCCUGAUAUUGAAAUUCGGCACAGCUUGUACAGGAUAGGUAGGAGCCUUUGAAACGUGAGCGCUAGCUUACGUGGAGGCGCUGGUGGGAUACUACCCUAGCUGUGUUGGCUUUCUAACCCGCACCACUUAUCGUGGUGGGAGACAGUGUCAGGCGGGCAGUUUGACUGGGGCGGUCGCCUCCUAAAAGGUAACGGAGGCGCUCAAAGGUUCCCUCAGAAUGGUUGGAAAUCAUUCAUAGAGUGUAAAGGCAUAAGGGAGCUUGACUGCGAGACCUACAAGUCGAGCAGGGUCGAAAGACGGACUUAGUGAUCCGGUGGUUCCGCAUGGAAGGGCCAUCGCUCAACGGAUAAAAGCUACCCCGGGGAUAACAGGCUUAUCUCCCCCAAGAGUUCACAUCGACGGGGAGGUUUGGCACCUCGAUGUCGGCUCAUCGCAUCCUGGGGCUGUAGUCGGUCCCAAGGGUUGGGCUGUUCGCCCAUUAAAGCGGUACGCGAGCUGGGUUCAGAACGUCGUGAGACAGUUCGGUCCCUAUCCGUCGUGGGCGUAGGAAAUUUGAGAGGAGCUGUCCUUAGUACGAGAGGACCGGGAUGGACAUACCUCUGGUGUACCAGUUGUCGUGCCAACGGCAUAGCUGGGUAGCUAUGUGUGGACGGGAUAAGUGCUGAAAGCAUCUAAGCAUGAAGCCCCCCUCAAGAUGAGAUUUCCCAACUUCGGUUAUAAGAUCCCUCAAAGAUGAUGAGGUUAAUAGGUUCGAGGUGGAAGCAUGGUGACAUGUGGAGCUGACGAAUACUAAUCGAUCGAAGACUUAAUCAA
rnacentral:rRNA from 1 species